AGAGUGAUGGAUCUUGGAAAAUCUGUGAGGCUUCUGUACGGGACUUGACAUGAUUAUUGUCAAAAGAGACAACUUAUUCAUCGGCUGAUAGCUCACAGGGCGCUGUUAAUUUUAUAAGGUUCGACAUGGCUGGCUCUGUUAAUUUUACAAGGUUCGACACGGCUGGCUUGAUACGCCAUUAAAUCAAUUUGAGGUAUCUUGCAAUGGCUUGCGAUGCCCGAGCUGCUCAUGGUGGCCACCGGAUACCUUACAUGACAAAGUAGCUGCUGAUAGCCUGAUAUGCCACAUUUGUACAGACUCUAACCAAACCUGAUAUCACAUGCUUUUAUCUGUUUCCUGAUAUGGUUUGAAUUUGCGGGACCUUUUUUAGUCGUGCCCUUUUUUAGUUGUGCGAGAGGCCAUCUGCGUCUAAAUUGUGGCGCCAUUGUUCAAAGAACAAUGUAAAUUAAUCUGCUCCUGUGUCUGUGUGGUUGUGUUCAACGGU
rnacentral:sRNA from 1 species